UGACGGUACCUGACUAAGAAGCCCCGGCUAACUACGUGCCAGCAGCCGCGGUAAUACGUAGGGGGCAAGCGUUAUCCGGAUUUACUGGGUGUAAAGGGAGCGUAGACGGUAUAGCAAGUCUGAAGUGAAAUGCAUGGGCUCAACCCAUGAACUGCUUUGGAAACUGUUAAACUAGAGUGCAGGAGAGGUAAGUGGAAUUCCUAGUGUAGCGGUGAAAUGCGUAGAUAUUAGGAGGAACACCAGUGGCGAAGGCGGCUUACUGGACUGUAACUGACGUUGAGGCUCGAAAGCGUGGGGAGCAAACAGGAUUAGAUACCCUG
rnacentral:rRNA from 1 species